rfam:Lysinibacillus sp. BF-4 contig00043, whole genome shotgun sequence.
UUAUGAGGUAGAGGUCGCGGUAUGCAAGAGUAAGCGUGUGGAGAUGGCAAGCAUCGAUGAAACACGACGAAAGGGUACACUGCCGAAGCGUUAAUUAGCUUGCCGUAAUUAAUGCUGGGGUUGUCAUCGAAAGAGACAGAACUGUCACGCCACAAGCGUGUUGAGCUAUCAGUUGA